rnacentral:rRNA from 1 species
AUUGAACGCUGGCGGCAUGCCUUACACAUGCAAGUCGAACGGCAGCACGGAGCUUGCUCUGGUGGCGAGUGGCGAACGGGUGAGUAAUAUAUCGGAACGUACCCGAGAGUGGGGGAUAACGUAGCGAAAGUUACGCUAAUACCGCAUACGAUCUAAGGAUGAAAGCAGGGGACCUUCGGGCCUUGUGCUCCUGGAGCGGCCGAUAUCUGAUUAGCUAGUUGGUGAGGUAAAGGCUCACCAAGGCAUCGAUCAGUAGCUGGUCUGAGAGGACGACCAGCCACACUGGAACUGAGACACGGUCCAGACUCCUACGGGAGGCAGCAGUGGGGAAUUUUGGACAAUGGGGGCAACCCUGAUCCAGCAAUGCCGCGUGAGUGAAGAAGGCCUCGGGUUGUAAAGCUCUUUUGUUCAGGGAAGAAACGGUUUUAGGCUAAUAUCCAGAGCUAAUGACGGUACCUGAAGAAUAAGCACCGGCUAACUACGUGCCAGCAGCCGCGGUAA